rnacentral:tRNA from 1 species
GAGGUUCUUAUAGUUGAAUA